rnacentral:tRNA from 1 species
GCGUCCGUGGCUCAAUUGGAUAGAGCAACAGACUUCGGAUCUGUAGGUUGGGGGUUCGAGUCCCCCCGGACGUG